CCUACGGGAGGCAGCAGUAGGGAAUUUUCGUCAAUGGGCGCAAGCCUGAACGAGCGAUGCCGCGUGAGUGAAGAAGGCCUUCGGGUCGGUAAGCUCUGUUGCGGGGGAAAAAAGGCAGCAUCAGGAAAUGUGUGCUUACUGAUGGUGCCCCGCCAGAAAGUCACGGCUAACUACGUGCCACCAGCCGCGGUAAUACGUAGGUGGCGAGCGUUAUCCGGAAUGAUUGGGGGGAAAGGGUGCGCAGGCGUUCCUGCACGUCUGGAGUGAAAAGCAUGGGCUCAACUCAUGCAUUGCUUUGGAAACUGGAGGACUGGAGAGCAGGAGAGGGCGGUGGAACUCGAUGUGUAGCGGUAAAAUGCGUAGAUAGAUGGAAGAACACCAGUGGCGAAGGCGGCAGCCUGGCCUGUUGCUGACGCUGAGGCACGAAAGCGUGGGGAGCAAAUAGGAUUAGAUACCCCAGUAGUC
rnacentral:rRNA from 1 species